CAUCGGUAUUAUUGCCGUCAUUAAAUAUUAAAUCUGUUUUGUAUGCGUUGUGUAUUGAUGUAACUACUCGAUAGAGCGUGAUAUUUCCUUGAGAAUGAGCGAUCACAACCGGUGGAUCAUCAUGUUGCCGCUUUCCCUUUUGAUGAUACUCACGCUUUUAAAAGAUGUUCGAGGCUUCGACCUAUCUGAUAUGAUGAAGCAACUUACUGAUUAUUUUCAACGUUUUUUCAACACAACCAUGCUACCGAUGAUUCGAAGAUAUGAACGACCCACCGAAAAUCCACUUGCAGA